GAUGAACGCUGGCGGCGUGCCUAAUACAUGCAAGUCGAGCGAACGGAUGAGAAGCUUGCUUCUCUGAUGUUAGCGGCGGACGGGUGAGUAACACGUGGAUAACCUACCUAUAAGACUGGGAUAACUUCGGGAAACCGGAGCUAAUACCGGAUAAUAUUUUGAACCGCAUGGUUCAAAAGUGAAAGACGGUCUUGCUGUCACUUAUAGAUGGAUCCGCGCUGCAUUAGCUAGUUGGUAAGGUAACGGCUUACCAAGGCAACGAUGCAUAGCCGACCUGAGAGGGUGGUCGGCCACACUGGAACUGGGACACGGUCCAGACUCCUACGGGAGGCAGCAGUAGGGAAUCUUCCGCAAUGGGCGAAAGCCUGACGGAGCAACGCCGCGUGAGUGAUGAAGGUCUUCGGAUCGUAAAACUCUGUUAUUAGGGAAGAACAUAUGUGUAAGUAACUGUGCACAUCUUGACGGUACCUAAUCAGAAAGCCACGGCUAACUACGUG
rnacentral:rRNA from 1 species